CAGCCGCCGCGGGAAUACGUAGGUGGCAAGCGUUGUCCGGAAUUAUUGGGCAUAAAGGGCUCGCAGGCGGUUUCUUAAGUCUGAUGUGAAAGCCCCCGGCUCAACCGGGGAGGGUCAUUGGAAACUGGGAAACUUGAGUGCAGAAGAGGAGAGUGGAAUUCCACGUGUAGCGGUGAAAUGCGUAGAGAUGUGGAGGAACACCAGUGGCGAAGGCGACUCUCUGGUCUGUAACUGACGCUGAGGAGCGAAAGCGUGGGGAGCGAACAGGAUUAGAUACCCCAGUAGUCCCUGUCUCUUAUAC
rnacentral:rRNA from 1 species